rnacentral:lncRNA from 1 species
AUAGCAGGAGUGAAUUUUAGACUGAGCAAUUCGCGUUAGUACCUUUUAACUUGGAGAACUUAUCAAGUGAUCUUUGCCUACCUCCACAAUUGUGCCAUCGUACGUGUUUCCCAAUAAUUAAUGCUUGCCUACCAUGACUAGACGUAAAGUCGAAACACACGACAAUGCAAACACUUCAGAGGAUGCAAAUGAAAUUGUCGACUGGUAUCGUCAAAAUGCUCAUUGUAAUCACUGGCUCAAAUGCCAAUAGAAAGGAAGAAACUACUG